rnacentral:rRNA from 1 species
CAGGAUGAACGCUAGCGACAGGCCUAACACAUGCAAGUCGAGGGGCAGCACAAGGAGCAAUCUGAGGUGGCGACCGGCGCACGGGUGAGUAACACGUAUGCAACCCGCCUGUAAGCGGGGAAUAACCCGUUGAAAGACGGACUAAUACCGCAUAAUACUAAAUUACUGCAUGGUAAUUUAUUUAAACAUUUAUGGCUUACAGAUGGGCAUGCGCAUGAUUAGCUAGUUGGAGAGGUAACGGCUCCCCAAGGCAACGAUCAUUAGGGGUUCUGAGAGGAAGGUCCCCCACACUGGUACUGAGACACGGACCAGACUCCUACGGGAGGCAGCAGUGAGGAAUAUUGGCCAAUGGACGAGAGUCUGAACCAGCCAAGUCGCGUGCAGGAAGAAUGUCCUAUGGAUUGUAAACUGCUUUUGCAGGGGAAUAAAGUGCAUCACGUGUGAUGUUUUGUAUGUACUCUGCGAAUAAGGAUCGGCUAACUCCGUGCCAGCAGCUGC